rnacentral:rRNA from 1 species
CGGAUAUUUAAUUGAGUACUUGUACGAGAUAAUAUCUUAGCGGCGGACGGGUGAGUAACACGUGAGCAACCUACCUUUAGCAGGGGAAUAACACUGGGAAACCAGUGCUAAUACCGCAUAACAUUAUCAUGGGGCAUCCUGUGGUAAUCAAAGGAGAAAUCCGGCAAAAGAUGGGCUCGCGUCCGAUUAGAUAGUUGGAGAGGUAACGGCUCCCCAAGUCAACGAUCGGUAGCCGGACUGAGAGGUUGAACGGCCACAUUGGGACUGAGACACGGCCCAGACUCCUACGGGAGGCAGCAGUGGGGAAUAUUGGGCAAUGGGGGCAACCCUGACCCAGCAACGCCGCGUGAAGGAAGAAGGUCUUCGGAUUGUAAACUUCUUUGAUCAGGGACGAAAAAAAUGACGGUACCUGAAGAACAAGCCACGGCUAACUACGUGCCAGCAGCCGCGGUAAUACGUAGGUGGCAAGCGUUAUCCGGAUUUACUGGGUGUAAAGGGCGUGUAGGCGGGUCUGCAAGUCAGAUGUGAAAUUCCCGGGCUUAACUCGGGAGGGUCAUCUGAAACUGCGGA